GGCUUAAAUGGGAAAUGACAGUUUAGGAAACUAGACCUUCUUCGGACAUUUUUCAAGGUGCUGCAUGGUUGUCGUCAGCUCGUGCUGUGAGGUGUCGGGUUAAGUCCCAUAACGAGCGCAACCCCUAUCUUUAGUUGCCAGCGAGUAAUGUCGGGGACUCUAGAGAAACUGCCGGUGCAAACCGAGAGGAAGGUGGGGAUGACGUCAAAUCAUCACGGCCCUUACGUCCAGGGCUACACACGUGCUACAAU
rnacentral:rRNA from 14 species